ACAGAGUCCUAACCACUGGACCACCAGGGAAUUCCUGGUGCUUUAUUUCAAGUCCAUGCCAUCUAAAUCUACUGAGUACAGUAACCGGGACUGGAGAGGGGAUGUAUUAGAACCUAAACAACAACAACGACACCGGGACGUUCGCCCCUUGCACUGCGAAUCUUAAUCCAGAGCACAGCUCCAGAACCGGGGACGCCACCGCCCUGACCCUGUCCAGGCCUUAAAUGAGAGAGAUGAAGGUGCCGGAGGGAGAACGGAGCAUGAAGCCUGCUUCUCAGGGAGGAGACUGGCUUGCCAGCGCACGGAUUCUAGUGAAAAGUUCAUAAUAAAUUGCAUCAGUAAAUCUGGAUUUGAGCCACUGCUCUCUGCCAUCAUCUUAAAAGUCAUGGAGGACAACUGUACGUAAGAGAGGAGGGCAUGGCACUGUGCUGGGACCCCCUGCAGCAGCUGCAGCCUCAGCUGGGACAGGAGAUGAGGCAGACGAUUGUUAACGACUGUGACACCAGAGUCCCUUGCUGCAGCGCCCUUCUGGCUGAGCGUGAGGUCUCCCGGGAAGGCGCGUCUACCUGGACUUGAAUGGAGCUCUCUCCACUGGCAGUCACAGAAGUCACAGAACCUUAUCAGGAGGGUCUUGACCACGAGGUGGACAGAGAAAGGCUGCCCCUCUCGACUCCACCUACAGUAGGCAUCACAGAGAUCUUUCCCCAAACUCCAAAGUAUAAUAUACUUUCAGUUAAAAUUAUGAUGUGAUCAAAAGAGGGUUGUGGGGAGGCACAUUAGAAUAUCCACCAAAUAUCCAAAUAUCAUGAUAUUUAGAAUAUAAUGUCAUUGCUAUUCUCGUCCAACAUUUUUAAAUAGUCUUAAGGAAUAGGUCAUAAUAAUAUCAUAUGGCAUGGACUACAUUUAACCCUAUCUCUAUAAAGAUUUCUCCUUCUUCCUAAUGGUCUAGGUCAAGGCCAAAAUUUUUAAUUUCUGAUCUGCAUUGUGAGUGGUAUUGAAAGCAGUACUCUCGUGGACAGGAGGGGAUACAGAAUUUGAGGGGCCCAGUGCAAAAUGGAAACACGGAGCACCUUGUUGAAAAAUGUCUUAACAACUGGAAGACAGUGACAACAGAGCAUUAAACCAAGCUCAGGGCUCCUGUGCACGGGGCCCUGCGAGACGGCACAGGUGGCACAACCACGAAGCCAGCCUCACUCUGAAACAGGACCUUACGAAAGAUAGCCUGCUGCCCCCUCCUCCCUUCUCCUCAGCCAAACAGAGGUCUCGGUCAAGUAAACCAUGGGAGAAUGAACGUGAGAUGUCCUCCGGUAGACAGACACCAAGUUCUGUGUACUGAGGUCCCAAGGAAAAUGGAGCCACAAAGUGUCCUCUAAAAACUACCAUUUACUUCCUUAUACAGACUGUAUUGUACGGCUUAUCUAAAAGUGUUCCAUCUUCUUCCUAGAGGGUUCCGCAAAGCGAGGUUUUCUAUCCAAAGGCCAGCGUGACCCUGGUGAUGGGCUCUGUUUUAAUGGGGAGUGGAGGACCAAUUUUGAAUACAGAUAAUGGUAGCACUGUCUCCUGGCAAUCUGAUCCUCAGUGACGUAUUUUUUCUCUUUCUCUGUAUUUUUUCCUUUUAAAAUCACUUCCUGCUUAAACCCCUUCGCUCUCAUCAGCUGUGCACCAGUGUUGGAUUUGACCUCAAAUUCUAGAUGGGCCAGGUUGCCCUGAAGGCGCUCUGCCUGGCUUUCUGCAGUGCAGGUGAUUAGGAAGGCUGGGGAAGCACUGUUUAGGGGGUGCCCUUCUCCUCUAAGGACAGCUGUGCUCUGUCAGGUCUAAAUUGGUGAACGAGACAAUAGUAAUUACAGUUAUGGCAGCAUUUGCCUAUGAGCUACCAUCUCUCCGAAGUGGGCUUCAGCUAAACUCAGCUGGAGGAGUUGUCUUUCCUUUUGGGACGUGGAACCUCUACAGAGUUGGUCUUCAGAGACUUAGAACAGGCUAUAGAGGCAAGCAAAGAGAAACAGAAAAGCACCCCUUUAUUUCUCCCCCAAAAUACAUGUAAGUAUUUUUGUAAGGUAUUUACAAAUUUAAGAGAAAAACUAUACUUAAAACAAAAUUAUCUUGUAAAGUCUGAGUUUUUCUGAGCUAUAGGUUACUUUUUAGGAUCAAACAAUACAGAAAGAACUGUUCAAAUGUAUAGCUUAUCCUGAUUUUUGGUCGUUCAGAAAAGGGCUAGAAGAUUAUAAUAUUACCUACUCUUAAUAGAAGAGUAUAUCCCCCCCUUUUUUUUUUCCUGGUAGUGAAUUUGUAGGGAUAAACAACCCUACAAAUUGUUUGGCCUUGUUUGGCCUAUUAUAUGUCACAGAGAUUUUUUCUAUAGCCUGUCUAGACUCCAGACAAUAGGUGAGACUGGCCUAGAGUUGCAGACAUUUCCAUAGUCUGUAAUGUCCCUUAGAAAAGUAAGGGUAAUAAUACAAAAAUGAAAACCAGCCUGAUCUGCUGGUACGAUAGGAGAAAUAUGAGUAUGACAACACUUUACAACUUAGAAAUGAUGACAACAACCUAGAGAGAAGUUUCAGCAGCCAUAUAUCAGCCAAAGCGACUUUUACAAAAUCAUACAUACUCCCCAAAUAUGAGUCAUAUUCAAGUAAUGUUGUCCAAUGGCUAUAAAAUCACUUUAUUGCAGAAAAUUCUGCAUAUAUGUUAUGUUGUAUUUUCUUACUGCCUAGAGGUGGUGUGUGUGAAUGUAUAUUACAUAUAUAUGAAUAUAUGACCACAAAUUAUUUGUGGUCAACAUACAGAUUUUUCAAAAUGCCUUACUUUAAAUAAACCAGAUUGUUAGACUAUUCUGCUUUUCAGCCCUCUUGGAUAAAACAAUUAAUGUUGCAUAUAAUCUUAAGAGAAUUAAGGGAUGUUAUGUAUAAGCAAGGGAAGUGGAGAAAAGAGUUUUUAAAUUUCAUCUAUUUUCUACCAUUUCGUCUCUGAGCAUGUCUCCACACCUAUUUUCUCUCCUACCACUGUACUUGUUCUAAACAAAGGAAAGGAGGAGAGAAACCUUUUGUUUCUUUAUAUU